UGGGGAAUUUUGGACAAUGGGCGAAAGCCUGAUCCAGCCAUGCCGCGUGAGUGAAGAAGGCCUUCGGGUUGUAAAGCUCUUUUAGUCGGAAAGAAAGAGUCGCAAUGAAUAAUUGUGAUUUAUGACGGUACCGACAGAAAAAGCACCGGCUAACUACGUGCCAGCAGCCGCGGUAAUACGUAGGGUGCGAGCGUUAAUCGGAAUUACUGGGCGUAAAGCGUGCGCAGGCGGUUAUGCGAGACAGAUGUGAAAUCCCCGGGCUCAACCUGGGAACUGCGUUUGAAACUACAAGGCUAGAGUGCAGCAGAGGGGAGUGGAAUUCCAUGUGUAGCAGUGAAAUGCGUAGAGAUGUGGAAGAACACCGAUGGCGAAGGCAGCUCCCUGGGUUGACACUGACGCUCAUGCACGAAAGCGUGGGGAGCAAACA
rnacentral:rRNA from 1 species